CGGCGGACGGGUGAGUAACGCGUGGGUAACCUGCCUCAUACAGGGGGAUAACAGUUAGAAAUGACUGCUAAUACCGCAUAAGCGCACAGGACCGCAUGGUCCGGUGUGAAAAACUCCGGUGGUAUGAGAUGGACCCGCGUCUGAUUAGCUGGUUGGCGGGGUAACGGCCCACCAAGGCGACGAUCAGUAGCCGACCUGAGAGGGUGGCCGGCCACAUUGGGACUGAGACACGGCCCAAACUCCUACGGAAGGCAGCAG
rnacentral:rRNA from 1 species